GAAACUCGCCUACAUGAAGCUGGAGUUGCUAGUAAUCGCGAAUCAGCAUGUCGCGGUGAAUACGUUCCCGGGCCUUGUACACGCCGCCCGUCACACCAUGAGAGUUGGCAAUACCCAACGUACGUGAUCUAACCCGCAAGGGAGGAAGCGUCCUAAGGUAGGGUCAGCGAUUGGGGUGAAGUCGUAACAAGGUAUC
rnacentral:rRNA from 1 species